rnacentral:rRNA from 1 species
UACGAAGGGGGCUAGCGUUGCUCGGAAUCACUGGGCGUAAAGGGUGCGUAGGCGGGUCUUUAAGUCAGGGUGAAAUCCUGGAGCUCAACUCCAGAACUGCCCUUGAUACUGAGGAUCUUGAGUUCGGGAGAGGUGAGUGGAACUGCGAGUGUAGAGGUGAAAUUCGUAGAUAUUCGCAAGAACACCAGUGGCGAAGGCGGCUCACUGGCCCGAUACUGACGCUGAGGCACGAAAGCGUGGGGAGCAAACAGG